GUGGGGGGGACUCUCCAGGGACAUCAUGCGUCACAGAGCAGGGAAGAGGGGGUGGUGAAGGCAGGCAUGAGCAGGUAGGAGAAUGUCACCCUGUCACUGAUGUCAUAGGGCAGAACUGGGGAUCGAGAGAACAGAAGUCAAGGCAUGGAAAGGGUCAGGUGACUGUCUUGCCCUUCUCACCUCCUUCUCGGGGGACACAGACGGGUGAGUUUCUUAACUGCAUUUGCAAUGAAUUUCUGAGGAAAAGGUCAACUUCGAGGAUUUGUGUUACUCCUCAAAGGGCAGGACUGCAGAGACUCGGGUGUGUGUGUGUGUGUAGGGACACAGAGACUCCCAGAGACAGAAGACAAAGCCCCAUCUAGCUACCAGGAGAGCUGUUUACAUGGAAUCCAAGUUGCCUGCCAGGGGCAGAGCACGUUUUUCCACAGCUGCUGAGAAAGACGAGUGAGUCAAGACAGAAUAACAAAAAGCCACUUCAAAAACACACCAGAAGAAGUACGAAGCUGAGACAAUCACAGGACAAUAGAGCCCAUUGAAGAGGAGCCUGGAGUUGGAGGUAUUGGCUCAAGUCCCUCCGACUGUCAUUCAGUUGCCAUGAGACUUUAGGUUGCUGACCCACUUAGGAAGAUGAGGUUUUUCUGCAGAGCCCUGGCUCCUUGCUGCACUGGGUGAGCUGUAGAGCGUCAACUCAGAGGUCCCCAUCAAGGCCCCACAGUGCCACGGUCCAGGAUGAUACACUGUGGCAUCCAGCAAAGAGGAGCCCUCGUCCUUUUUUCCUUUUUAGAGGGGUCGUCUAUUGUAGCAGAAAUUCUACAAUUGUGUUCGGGUCUCUAACCUCGGGGAUGAAAAAGAUGAAGGGUUUGAUCUAUGUUGAAGGUGGAUUCUCUUUCAUCAUUACACACACACACACACACACACACACACAUCAAAGGCAAGAUACAAAAUUCAUGCAAAGAUACUGCAAUUCACCAGAAUCUCAAAUGACAUUGUGUCACAGAUCAAAGGACAUUGUGUCACAGGCCUGGACACACUCAUGGAGAGGUGCUCAUGACUGAACUUGUGUCCUUGGGUGAGGAAGUGCAGCUGAGUCCAUUUCUGAAGCCUACCUCUUGUCUCAUAGGGCUUU
rnacentral:lncRNA from 1 species